rfam:Mesocricetus auratus contig197549, whole genome shotgun sequence.
AGAUCAACGAUGUGUACAGUAUCUGAGGAUGGUGAUUGACUCAUGACUAUGCCAAUCUGACUUCC